GGGUUGUUAGCUCAGUUGGUUAGAGCGCCGUGUUAAUAACGCGGAGGUCAUGAGUUCGAUCCUCUUGCUUUUACGAGCCA
rnacentral:tRNA from 1 species